GUGCAGCAGGCGCGAAACCUUCGCAAUGCGGGAAACCGCGACGAGGGGACUCCCAGUGCCUACGCUCAGCGUAGGCUGUUCCCGAGCCUAGAAAGCUCGGGGAGUAAGGGCUGGGUAAGACGGGUGCCAGCCGCCGCGGUAAUACCCGCAGCCCGAGUGGUGGCCACUAUUAUUGGGCCUAAAGCGUCCGUAGCCGGCCCGGUAAAUGCCUGGGUAAAUCGUGAGGCCUAACCUCACGAAUUCCGGGUAGACUGCCGGGCUAGGGACCGGAGGAGGGAGAGGGGUACUCCAGGGGUAGGGGUGAAAUCCUGUAAUCCCUGGAGGACCACCGGUGGCGAAGGCGCUCUCCUAGGACGGGUCCGACGGUGAGGGACGAAAGCCAGGGGAGCGAACCGGAUUAGAUACCCGCGUAGU
rnacentral:rRNA from 1 species